GAAGCGGCACCAGCCCGCGGCUCGCCAACCGGGAGCUGGCGGCUCCCAGCAGAAGGGAACAGAACCCGAGGACCCUUUGCAGGAGAAAGAGCAGGUGCGAUGAGAGGGGAGAAGGACAGAAAGUUGGACACCUUACGGGGCCCUCUCAUCAGAAUGACCUCAUUCCCACUCCGAGAGACUUGUUGGACUUUUUGUUGAGCCAUUUUUGUGAAGAACCACGUAGGCUCGGGACUGAGACUCGCACAAGGUCACACAGCUGUUGGGUGGCACACAUCUGAGUUUGGAGCCUCGAAGUGUCUCAUUCCGUCGCCUGUCUUCUGCUGCUGCCCUUCGCAGAAUUGCUCUUGUCAGAAUUUAUGGCUGAACUACGAACGGGCACCUUUCAUGGCCUGUCUGUCCAAUACUGGCUGCAUGGAUGUUUCUUUGUCUUUCAUUUAGUUGAAACUCCUGAGGCAGAGAUUGAGUCAUUUCCCUGCCUUCACUGGAAGGGCAGUAAAUGACAUGCAAAAUGCGUGAGGACUUCGUGUGGAAGCGUUUUCCUGCCACUGGUCCUUUUUAUCUGCCUUGUGCCCCCCUGCUAGACGGUCCUCCCCAGCACCUCCUCCUUUUAUCUCAGCCCUAACUUUUAAAGUCCAUCCCCUCACUCACUACCUUAACUUUCGUGUUUACUUCCUUUUAUGAACUUCUCUAGGUCGACCGUUUUCACUCUUCGCGGGGCGCUUGUUGUGUGGCCUUUCUGCACCUUUGAUGAAUGCAUUCCCAGAUAUGUUCUCUUCUAGGAUGCCUCUUUGCAUCGCCAGUGGCACCGUGUUUGUACAAGCAGUACAGACUCCAAAAAAUGUUACUGGUGGGUGAACAUUAUUUCAGCCACUAAGAAAGAGGUGGGAGUGAGGGGUUUCCUGGUGGCUGAGCGAGUUAAAGACCUGGCAUUGUCACGGCUGUGUCUCAGUUUCAAUCUCUGACCCAGGAACUUGCACAUGCCAAGGGCACAACUAAAAAAGAGAAAGAGAGGAUUUCCAUCCCCAAAUCAAGCCUGCCUUGUUUAUGCCUCAACCUUUACUUUCCUAUCUCCAUAGUUUUUCUCCACUGUAAUCCUUAGCCUAUACCAUAGACUGUCUAGAUCAUUCAAUAACAUAAAAACAAUAUUUUUCAAUUUGAUGUCUUAGCAGUGGCAACGAUAACAGGUGUGGUGUGAUAAGAUUUACUGAAUCACCCUUCAUCACCUACUGUCAAGCCACAUUCCUACUACAUUAGGACGGAAAUUUAGGGAUAGAAAAAUAUGAAGGAUAUUUUCCGUCCUAGAUGGAUUAGACUCGGGUAAAACGAAAAAUAUUUGUAAAUAUUUGCAAUACAGCAAGAGGAGUUGGGGAAAUGAUCUUUUAGAAGAAUAAAUUAAGGUUUUUAUUUCCCAGAGAGGACAAAUAAAAUCAUAUUAAUAGAAAGAAAAGUUAUUCACGUGACUAGCAUGCGGUCUUCAGAAGAAAAAUAAUACAGAGAUGAGUUGUGUUUGUUUUUGGAUAAUUCAAAAGAAAACUAGCCUGAGCCACUCCUGUGAAAAGACUAAACUGGAGUUUAAUCUCACAGUGGCAAGAAUUUAAAACAAUUUGCAACAACAAAGCACAGUUUAGCUUUUCAAACUGCUUCCAUGGAGAGUCUUUGCUUUACAUUUGCAUAACUUAAUGACACAUUCUGGCGGUCUUCUUAAAAUAAAAGGUUUGCAGAAAGACAGAUUAAGGUAGUGAAAGGGCAGCCUUUCUGGGCUCCAGCUUACUCAGAAUUCAGCCCUGCAGGGCUAGCAGCUCAAAGUUCUUCCCCCUUCCAUAGUUAGCUUUAAGAAUCCCUGCCUUUUCAGUUCUAUCUGUUAACUACCUUUUAUGCAGAGUCCAGUCAAGCCUGAAAUUGGAACGUUGCUCUAUCCCUGUUUCAACAGGAAAAAUUUUUAGUCCAUUUACACUUAGUAUAAUUAAUGCUGUAUUUAGAUUUUUACCUGCCAUCUUACUAUUAUUUUCUUUGCCUGUUUACUUAAUAUCCCUUAUUCUCUUGUUUCUUGCCUUCUUUUGAUUUCAGUAUACCAUUUACCUCCUUUAUUAGCUUAUUAAUUUUACACUUUUAAGAAGUCUUAGGGAUUACAAUAGUCUCAAUUGAUUUAUUACACUCCAUUUUAAAUGAUUACUUUCAACACUUCCCCCCAAGUACUAAGACUUUAGGAUAGUAUUGUGUCUCCACAUAACCCCUUCCCCUUUUGUGUUUAUUGGUUGUCUUGUAUUUUAAUUGUGCGUAUAUUUUUAAAGCACAUGAGAUUUUAUUGGGAGGGAUAAACUAGGGAUUUGGGAUUAGCAUAUGCACACUGAGGUAUGUGGAAUGAUUGGCCAACCAGGACCUGCUAUAUAGGACAGAGAACUCUACCCAGUAUUCUGUGAUAAUCUGAGUGGGAAAAGAGUCUGCGAGAGAGAAUGGAUUUGUGUGUAUAUAUGACUGGGUCACUCUGCUGUACAGCAGAAAUAAUCACACCUUGUAAAUUAACUAUACUUCGAUAAAACUUUUUUAAAAGAUGUUAUCAUUGUACAGUCAAUAUUCAUUAGAUGUUCCUUUAUGUUCCUCUUUCUUCCAAUAUGUAUUUGUAUGCUUAUGAGUGGAAUUUUUUCUCUCUGUUUGAAUAAUUCCUUUGUUCCAAGC
rnacentral:lncRNA from 1 species